rnacentral:rRNA from 1 species
ACUGCUCAGUAACACGUGGAUAACCUGCCCUUGGGACCGGCAUAACCCCGGGAAACUGGGGAUAAUUCCGGAUAANGCAUAUGUGCUGGAAUGCUUUAUGCGUAAAAUGGAUUCGUCCGCCCAAGGAUGGGUCUGCGGCCUAUCAGGUAGUAGUGGGUGUAAUGUACCUACUAGCCGACAACGGGUACGGGUUGUGAGAGCAAGAGCCCGGAGAUGGAUUCUGAGACAUGAAUCCAGGCCCUACGGGGCGCAGCAGGCGCGAAAACUUUACAAUGCGGGAAACCGUGAUAAGGGGACACCGAGUGUCAGCAUCAUAUGCUGGCUGUCCAGGUGUGUAAAAUACACCUGUUAGUAAGGGCCGGGCAAGACCGGUGCCAGCCGCCGCGGUAACACCGGCGGCCCGAGUGGUGAUCGUGAUUAUUGGGUCUAAAGGGUCCGUAGCCGGUUUGGUCAGUCCUCCGGGAAAUCUGACGGCUCAACCGUUAGGCUUUCGGGGGAUACUGCCAGGCUUGGAACCGGGAGAGGUAAGAGGUACUACAGGGGUAGGAGUGAAAUCUUGUAAUCCCUGUGAGACCACCUGUGGCGAAGGCGUCUUACCAGAACGGGUUCGACGGUGAGGGACGAAAGCUGGGGGCACGAACCGGAUUAGAUACCCGGGUAGUCCCAGCCGUAAACGAUGCUCGCUAGGUGUCAGGCAUGGCGCGACCGUGUCUGGUGCCGCAGGGAAGCCGUGAAGCGAGCCACCUGGGAAGUACGGCCGCAAGGCUG